rnacentral:lncRNA from 1 species
GUAGAGUUCCCUACGUACCCGGUCCGUCCAUCAGCUCCCAAAAUAUCCAGUAAAGCUGUCGUUUCAUCCAUUCACUUAAUCACAAAAUUUUUCGUUUACCUUUAACCUCCAAUUUUCCAAUUCAACCGUAACCAUACAAAACAAACCACACAUGCAUUCAAAACUAUAAAAUUAAUCAAUCAAUUACUAUAUAGCAUUCAAAAUGAAAAAUAAAUCAAC